rnacentral:rRNA from 1 species
UACGAAGGGGGCUAGCGUUGCUCGGAUUUAUUGGGCGUAAAGAGCUCGUAGGCGGUCUGUUGCGUCUGCUGUGAAAACUCGGGGCUUAACCCCGAGCCUGCAGUGGAUACGGGCAGACUAGAGGUAGGUAGGGGAGAAUGGAAUUCCCGGUGUAGCGGUGAAAUGCGCAGAUAUCGGGAGGAACACCGGUGGCGAAGGCGGUUCUCUGGGCCUUACCUGACGCUGAGGAGCGAAAGCGUGGGGAGCGAACAGG